GACGAACGCUGGCGGCGUGCCUAACACAUGCAAGUCGAACGGAAAGGCCCUGCUUUUGUGGGGUGCUCGAGUGGCGAACGGGUGAGUAACACGUGAGUAACCUGCCCUUGACUUUGGGUUAACUUCAGGAAACUGGGGCUAAUACCGGAUAGGAGCUCCUGCUGCAUGGUGGGGGUUGGAAAGUUCCGGCGGUUGGGGAUGGACUCGCGGCUUAUCAGCUUGUUGGUGGGGUAGUGGCUUACCAAGGCUUUGACGGGUAGCCGGCCUGAGAGGGUGACCGGCCACAUUGGGACUGAGAUACGGCCCAGACUCCUACGGGAGGCAGCAGUGGGGAAUAUUGCACAAUGGGCGGAAGCCUGAGGCAGCAACGCCGCGUGCGGGAUGACGGCCUUCGGGUUGUAAACCGCUUUCGCCUGUGACGAAGCGUGAGUGACGGUAAUGGGUAAAGAAGCACCGGCUAACUACGUG
rnacentral:rRNA from 1 species